UUUUCCCUUUUGUCUUUUUUCAGGCAGACACCUGGCUGCGGGAGCCACUGCCAAGUCUAGCUGUCAGGAAGUUGUCAGAGGCUGCACCUGGGAAGAAAGCCACUCUGCGGAACACUCAUCCAGGCUCUCAUUUCCCAGCUUCUUGUCUGGGUUGGAAAACAAUGAGACAUCUGCCCUGAAUGCCCACCUUUUCCAUCAGUGGCAGUAGGCACAUAAGUCUUAGGUUUUGUCACUGAUGGGCAAUAUGGAGAGAAUGUAAAAAUAUCUAACUUCAAACAGAAAAAAGAAACAACUGGAAUGAAAAGCUAUAAACAAUAGUUCAGAAGAUUGACGUAGAGGAUUUACCUACAGAACUUCAGGAGAUUCCUAAGAAGGCCUUCAGUGAUCUUUUCAUCAAUAUCAUCAGGCCUUAUCAUUGUUUCACAUUUGCUUCUCUUUACCAUAGGGAAUAUAAUAAUUAUUUACUGGUUAACUUCCUAGGGAGAUUGCCUGCGGCUUAUUUAAGAUCCAAAUUUUAAAGUAAUAAUUUCUGUUGAAGCUGCUUGUGAGGUGGUUGGGUGGGCAGAUAGAGUGAAGCCAGGGACACACACUAAAUGAGCCCGGGAUGUAGGCAGGUUUUGAUGUUUUGCUUGCUUUUAUCCCUAACAUUUUAUCCCUUCACGUUUACUGUCUCACUGAACAUUUUGUCUACUCUUCUAGUUAUGCAGUGAGCAGGUCUCCUCCAGGAAGAAGCCUCUUUUUAUGAGGAUUGGGGUGGUGACAGACAAUAAUCAAAUGGUCUGAUUUCUCUGCUAUCCUUUCCUUUCCCCUAAAUGUUCUCAGGGGAUCUGCUUGAACUUUUUUCAAGAGCUCUGUAUUUGGAUUUUUAGUAGCCUAUAGAUUAUCACUCAAUAAAACAAAUUAAUUGUUUUUAAGUGAAUUGCCAAAAGUCAUUUUAAAAAGGAAACUCUAUGGUUAUUAUGGUUUCUGCUAGAAAGAAUUCUGACAGCUCAUAAAAGCAAUAUGUAUAAUUUUUCAUUUUUUAGAAGAAAAUAAAUACUUUCAUGUAAUGGCUUGAGACUCUGAAUUGCUCCAAUUCCUGAAGAUUAUUUAUUAAUCAUUUAGUCUUUUAAUAUAUUUGAGUGUGGGUUCCCUGGCAGAGGAGGGAGUUCAGAAGAGACCCUGAUUUCCCCCCCAAAA
rnacentral:lncRNA from 1 species